rnacentral:lncRNA from 10 species
GUGCUGAAGCUAUGGAAAUGGUGAAAUUAUAUGCAAUCUGCAAAACAAUGUGGCUAUAACGUGGUAAUUGGCCUUCCACAUAAUUAAAGGAACAUUUCCUCAUCAGAGCUGUUCCAUCAGAGACCCAAAGGUUAUCGUUGUACAAAUCACCCACUUAGGAAAACCUUUAUUCCCAGUAGCCUAUACAAAUCUGGUUAUGCAAACAGAUUUGCUUAUUCAGUAACAUUAAUGGCUUCUCAUAGUUAAAAAGUCAUCAAUGUGUUUGACCUAUAAUCUGUUUCCUCUGUGACCAAGUGUCAUUUUUAUUUUGACAGUUAGGAGCCUUUUGACUCUUUCACAGCUGGCAUGAAGGUACAGGGAGGGAAAUCUCAAAAACCAACAACCUGUGUAUUCCCAGACUAUUAAUCAUAGAAAAUCACUUCAACUGGAUUACGGUCUUGUACCUGGCAGAAAGGCUGUUAUGAACAUUGGAAUUGGAUUUUUACACUUGAUAUGACACUUCCUUGAGUCAGAUCAGAUUCGUGUUUGAUAGACUCUUGCCAAAAAAUUGCUCCAGGGUCUGUGCAGUAGCUAAAGCCUUUUUGUUGUUGUUGUUGUUUUAAAAGUAGCAUUAAAUGUUUUCAUGAAGACCUUCCCAGUCGUGAUUUUAUUGGGAAUAUGGUCUUUAGCUCUGGUCCUGAAUAACUCACACUGAGGAAACCUCUAACAAGUGUUGUAUUGGAAGAUGUCUGAUGGAUGGUUGGUUUUAAUAACAAAUCUCUUCCCUUUUUCUGUCCCCUGUGUUCUAUUCUCUUUUCUCUACACAUUAUUCUGGGAGGAUUCACCUAUUCCCAAAGUCCUUUCCUCUUUAUUUCCAUUUCAGAGCUCUCUGUAUAACUCCAGGCUGACGAAUCCAACGGCCCAGUUUUUAUCUCCACUUGGCUGUCUUUCUUGCAUUGACCUCAUCUUACCUUGCCUCUCCUGAUUUCCUCUUCUGCCUGGGCUCAUCACAUCAGAUUCACACCACCAUCCACCCAGCUUCCAAAACACCUGGGCCUCCUCCUUCAUUCCUCCCUCUGUCUCAGUCAAGUUAGUCUACUGUCUCCUCUCCAUCCUCACUGCCACAGCCUUGGUCUAGCCAACCAUCUUGUCUCACUUGGCGUAUUGCAGCCUCCUACCUGGUCUACUCACCUCCCACUCUCCUCCAGUCAGACUGCUCUUUUUAUAGCACAAAGUGGAUCAUUACUCCCCUGCAUAAAAACAUCUACUGUCUCCCUUUGUCUACAGGAUAAACACGACAAAUAACCUUUAAGAUUUGGCUCCAACUUACCUCUAUAUUAGUCAAUUUUUAUAAUUAUAUAAACAUCUCUCAGCUCCUCACCCUCUCACGUCUCGAUUUGUGCACAUGCUCUUCCCUCUGCUGGGAAUGAUCUUCCACACCUCUCCUAUCGACCUGG